rnacentral:rRNA from 1 species
AGUGAACGCUGGCGGUAGGCCUAACACAUGCAAGUCGAACGGCAGCACAGUAAGAGCUUGCUCUUACGGGUGGCGAGUGGCGGACGGGUGAGGCAUACAUCGGAAUCUACUUUUUCGUGGGGGAUAACGUAGGGAAACUUACGCUAAUACCGCAUACGACCUACGGGUGAAAGCAGGGGAUCUUCGGACCUUGCGCGAUUGAAUGAGCCGAUGUCGGAUUAGCUAGUUGGCGGGGUAAAGGCCCACCAAGGCGACGAUCCGUAGCUGAUCUGAGAGGAUGAUCAGCCACACUGGAACUGAGACACGGUCCAGACUCCUACGGGAGGCAGCAGUGGGGAAUAUUGGACAAUGGGCGCAAGCCUGAUCCAGCCAUGCCGCGUGGGUGAAGAAGGCCUUCGGGUUGUAAAGCCCUUUUGUUGGGAAAGAAAAGCAGCAGGUGAAUACCCCGCUGUUCUGACGGUACCCAAAGAAUAAGCACCGGCUAACUUCGUG